GUUAACCAACAUUUCGGCAAACAAAGCAGUUGCCUCUUCGAGGUGGACCAUGUGGUACAUAGGUUACAAGAGUAGUUUUGUUUGGGAGGUGGUAUCUUUUCGACUGUUACACAUUGUGAUGUUUAUUAAACACAAAGGAAUUGUAGGGAAGGUUCCGAAGUGAUCUUCAUUGUGCGAAAACAUUUAGUUGGUAUUAAAAUUUGAACAACUUUUUUGUUUUUAACGCUCUGACGUUAAACCCCGCCUCGAUUGUUAUGCACUUUAUAUUUGUUUGAGAAAUAGUAUUGUGUUUUAUAGUGUUAUUUCAUGUAACCCUUUUUAUGUAACAGGCACACAUCUAAAUAAGUUGUGUGUCAAAUGACAGAAUGUCUAUGUGAGGGGCCCAUGAAGACUGGGGUGGCUGCCCCAUCCUAAGAACGGUACUGGACACACAUAAACAUACACCAAUAUUUUCAGAACCCCCCCAAGACAGGGUCUAGGAAACUCCCACACCCAGCAGCAAACCAGAGACUUUGUCAACAUUCGGGCUUUCAAGCGGAAUUUCUCAUUUCAGUAUCUCCUAGAGCAGCGUUUCUCAACUUGUGUUCGCUGUUACUAGCGGCACCGAAACUGACUCGCCCGUGACUCACGCGCACAAGUCCCGCCGACGUCAACAGAGCGCCGGCCGACCACGUAAUGCAAGCACUACCGCAGCCUCAUAAAUUGUAGACCCGGUAUUAUAAACCUGUAAGUAUUGUUAGCUCUGUACAUUAUUACUGUUCAUGAAUACAACUGGAACCAUCAAAUGUGA